CCCUAGUAACGGCGAGUGAACCGGGAAGAGCUCAAAUUUGAAAUCUGGCAGUCUUCGAUUGUCCGAGUUGUAAUCUAUAGAAGCGUUUUCCGUGCUGAACUGUGUAUAAGUCCCUUGGAACAGGGUAUCAAAGAGGGUGACAAUCCCGUACUUUACACAAUCAUCAGUGCUCUGUGAUACGUUCUCUACGAGUCGAGUUGUUUGGGAAUGCAGCUCAAAAUGGGUGGUAAAUUCCAUCUAAAGCUAAAUAUUGGCGAGAGACCGAUAGCGAACAAGUACCGUGAGGGAAAGAUGAAAAGCACUUUGGAAAGAGAGUUAAACAGUACGUGAAAUUGUUGAAAGGGAAACGAACGCUACGUAUCAUGUUUAUUGGACUCAGCCGAUCUUCGGUGUACUUCCUUUAAACGGGUCAACAUCAGUUUUGUCCGAUGGAUAAAGGUAGUAGGAAGGUGGCUCUCUCGGGAGUGUUAUAGCCUAUUGCCGCAUACAUUGGAUGAGACUGAGGACUGCAGCUUGCCUUUAUGGCCGGGGUUCGCCCACGUUCAAGCUUAGGAUGUUGACAUAUACUCGAGCGCACGCCCCGUCUUGAAA
rnacentral:rRNA from 1 species